AAAUUGAAGAGUUUGAUCAUGGCUCAGAUUGAACGCUGGCGGCAGGCCUAACACAUGCAAGUCGAACGGUAACAGGAAGAAGCUUGCUUCUUUGCUGACGAGUGGCGGACGGGUGAGUAAUGUCUGGGAAACUGCCUGAUGGAGGGGGAUAACUACUGGAAACGGUAGCUAAUACCGCAUAACGUCGCAGGGCAGGCCUAACACAUGCAAGUCGAACGGUAACAGGAAGAAGCUUGCUUCUUUGCUGACGAGUGGCGGACGGGUGAGUAAUGUCUGGGAAACUGCCUGAUGGAGGGGGAUAACUACUGGAAACGGUAGCUAAUACCGCAUAACGUCGCAAGACCAAAGAGGGGGACCUUCGGGCCUCUUGCCAUCGGAUGUGCCCAGAUGGGAUUAGCUWGUWGGUGGGGUAACGGCUCACCWAGGCGACGAUCCCUAGCUGGUCUGAGAGGAUGACCAGCCACACUGGAACUGAGACACGGUCCAGACUCCUACGGGAGGCAGCAGUGGGGAAUAUUGCACAAUGGGCGCAAGCCUGAUGCAGCCAUGCCGCGUGUAUGAAGAAGGCCUUCGGGUUGUAAAGUACUUUCAGCGGGGAGGAAGGGAGUAAAGUUAAUACCUUUGCUCAUUGACGUUACCCGCAGAAGAAGCACCGGCUAACUCCGUGCCAGCAGCCGCGGUAAUACGGAGGGUGCAAGCGUUAAUCGGAAUUACUGGGCGUAAAGCGCACGCAGGCGGUUUGUUAAGUCAGAUGUGAAAUCCCCGGGCUCAACCUGGGAACUGCAUCUGAUACUGGCAAGCUUGAGUCUCGUAGAGGGGGGUAGAAUUCCAGGUGUAGCGGUGAAAUGCGUAGAGAUCUGGAGGAAUACCGGUGGCGAAGGCGGCCCCCUGGACGAAGACUGACGCUCAGGUGCGAAAGCGUGGGGAGCAAACAGGAUUAGAUACCCUGGUAGUCCACGCCGUAAACGAUGUCGACUUGGAGGUUGUGCCCUUGAGGCGUGGCUUCCGGAGCUAACGCGUUAAGUCGACCGCCUGGGGAGUACGGCCGCAAGGUUAAAACUCAAAUGAAUUGACGGGGGCCCGCACAAGCGGUGGAGCAUGUGGUUUAAUUCGAUGCAACGCGAAGAACCUUACCUGGUCUUGACAUCCACGGAAGUUUUCAGAGAUGAGAAUGUGCCUUCGGGAACCGUGAGACAGGUGCUGCAUGGCUGUCGUCAGCUCGUGUUGUGAAAUGUUGGGUUAAGUCCCGCAACGAGCGCAACCCUUAUCCUUUGUUGCCAGCGGUCCGGCCGGGAACUCAAAGGAGACUGCCAGUGAUAAACUGGAGGAAGGUGGGGAUGACGUCAAGUCAUCAUGGCCCUUACGACCAGGGCUACACACGUGCUACAAUGGCGCAUACAAAGAGAAGCGACCUCGCGAGAGCAAGCGGACCUCAUAAAGUGCGUCGUAGUCCGGAUUGGAGUCUGCAACUCGACUCCAUGAAGUCGGAAUCGCUAGUAAUCGUGGAUCAGAAUGCCACGGUGAAUACGUUCCCGGGCCUUGUACACACCGCCCGUCACACCAUGGGAGUGGGUUGCAAAAGAAGUAGGUAGCUUAACCUUCGGGAGGGCGCUUACCACUUUGUGAUUCAUGACUGGGGUGAAGUCGUAACAAGGUAACCGUAGGGGAACCUGCGGUUGGAUCACCUCCUUACCUUAAAGAAGC
rnacentral:rRNA from 1 species